rnacentral:lncRNA from 1 species
UUAUCUAAAAACGUGUAAUCUAGAAAAUAAACCUGUCAAAUACACCACUUCAAAGUGAACUAAUUUCUUGAACAAGUUUCAGUGUAAUUGAAUAAUUACUCUAAAUGUAAGACACACAUAAGAUUAACGACGGCGGUAUUCCUCGUGAAUUCGUCGUAAAAGAGGCUUGACGAGGAAUUAGCGACGAAACACGUUUCGUCGUUACUCGUUCGUCGUAACGCAGAUUUCCUCGCCAAUUCGUCGUAACUUAGCGAGGAAAACAUUUCGUCGUAAAGACGAAGUACAUCAUUUCAUCGUAAAAACCACGUAAUUAUUCCACGUAAGGAGGUCGCUAUAUUUCCUCGUAAAUACCUCGAAAGGAGUUCCUCGUAAACUACACGUAAAUAUCUCGAAAGUAUUUUCGAAUAAAGUACACGUAAAUACCUCGAAAGUAUUUCCUCGUAAAAUACUC